rnacentral:tRNA from 1 species
CAGAAAGUAGUUUAUAUUAAAAUACAAGUUUUGGGGACUUGUGAUAGGGUUAAAGCCCUUUUUUUGA